AUUGGCUCAGUUUUGUGGAUGUGUUUCUGGGAUUAUUCAGUGACCUCAGACAGGCUGCUCCAAGUCUCCCUGGACCACCUGCGUAGUUCAGCCAUAUUCUACAGUGAGCACUUAGGACAGGACAUGCAGGGGCUACACAGGCAUCAAGGCUGGCUGAUUCCACAGAGCAAGAAUGUCAACAAGGAUCCAGCUUAUUUUUGCCUCUUCACCCCA
rnacentral:lncRNA from 10 species